CUUUUGAACCGGAAGUUGUUCUGUUCGGAAGUUUGGUGACUGCUCUACCAACUUUUUUCCACAACUUGGACAAAACAUGUUGGCUGUAUCCCAAUUCAGGGUCUGCAGCCUUAAAGGCUGCAUUAAAAGGCCGAUUCCGUCACAGCGGCGCGCCGAAGGCUGUCCCAAUUCAAAGGCUGCUCGAAAUGCGGCCCUCAAAUUCGGCCUUCAUUUCACUGAAUUUUAAGGCUGUGGCGGUGUAGACUUCGUGGCCCAACAUAUCCCACAAUUUAUAGCGCGGCAGUCACUGUGGAUAAUUUUGCCGCAGACGGCAGAAGCGUAGCGGCCGAAGAGUAAACUGUUAAACCUUAUCACACAUUUGAUUUCCAUGUGUGACAACUGCAAGUGUCCAGAGUGAGGACAGACUGAGGGACCCACUGCUGCACAUCAUCUGUGAGGCUUUGCACCCCUGAUGAUCCACCAGGACAAACUCAGCAGUGUGUGAGGAAGAGGAGGAGGAAGAGCCAGCAGCAGCUGACAGAUGGGGAGAAUAGACAGACUGUUCCUGUUUGUGAAGGACUGCUAGAAACAUUUAAAAUAACUAAUUGUCUGUGCUGAAUCAGUCUUAUUAGAUAAUGUUCAGAUAAUUUGAUCAUUCCAGUGUUUUCAGUGUGGGAGAAAGUACUCAGAGCCUUCAAGUUACACACUAUGAAAGGCAGCAACAAGUUUAAUAUUCAGAAACCUAAAGUAUGUAUCAGCAGCUGAAUGGAGCUAAAAAUAAAUGUUUGUUUCAGUUCUAUGAAGCUUUGAGUAUUUUGGAUUAGUAGCACUGCUGUGUUUGUUGCAUCAUAUUGCUGUAAUUGUUUAUAUGCUUUAUAUAUUCUGAGGUAAGUUGAUCUAUAGUGUUACAUCAUAUUCUAUAAGGAUGUUAUGUGUUUGUAUACUUUCUGCCCAGUUUGACCCAUUUAGCAGAAGUCAGCCUGUUUAAGGCUCUGAUAUCUAUUCUGUAUGACUUAAAGCAGUUAUGACAUGGUCUGAUUUUCUCACCCAAUAAAGGGAUAUUUAAUAUAUCAGUCUACUCUUCAUUCUAUCAGACAGUUAUCACAGCUCGUACAUUUUCUUUUUACACAUAUAUGUAAGCAUUGAGCCAAAUUUAGUAAUGCCAAC
ensembl:lncRNA